rnacentral:rRNA from 1 species
CCUGGAGAAUAAGCUCCGGCUAACUCCGUGCCAGCAGCCGCGGUAAUACGGAGGGAGCUAGCGUUGUUCGGAAUUACUGGGCGUAAAGCGCACGUAGGCGGCUACUCAAGUCAGAGGUGAAAGCCCGGGGCUCAACCCCGGAACUGCCUUUGAAACUAGGUAGCUGGAAUCUUGGAGAGGUCAGUGGAAUUCCGAGUGUAGAGGUGAAAUUCGUAGAUAUUCGGAAGAACACCAGUGGCGAAGGCGACUGACUGGACAAGUAUUGACGCUGAGGUGCGAAAGCGUGGGGAGCAAACAGGAUUAGAUACCCCUGGUAGUCCACGCCGUAAACGAUGAUAACUAAGCUGUCCGGUCACUUGGUGGAUUGGGGUGGCGCAGCUAACGCAUUAAGUUAUCCGCCUGGGGGAGUACGGGUCGCAAGAUUAAAACUCAAAGGGAAUGGACGGGGGGCCUGCCACAA